GCCAGACUUUGAUCCUGGCUCAGGACGAACGCUGGCGGCGGGCUUAACACAUGCAAGUCGUACGAGAAAGCCCCUUCGGGGGUGAGUAAAGUGGCGAACGGGUGAGUAACACGUAGGCAACCUACCCUGAAGAGGGGGAUAACAUCGAGAAAUCGGUGCUAAUACCACAUGGUGUUCUGAUUGGGCAUCCGAUCAGAACUAAACCCUUCAUUGGGCUUCAGGAUGGGCCUGCGGCGGAUUAGCUUGUUGGUGAGGUAAAAGCUCACCAAGGCGACGAUCCGUAGCUGGUCUGAGAGGACGAUCAGCCACACUGGGCAUGAGACACGGGCCAGACUUCUACGGGAGGCAGCAGUGGGGAAUCUUAGACAAUGGGCGAAAGCCUGACGCACCACGCCGCGUGGAGGAAGACACCCCUAUGGGGCGUAAACUUCUUUUGCGUGAGAAGAAGGCUCUGCAUUGCA
rnacentral:rRNA from 1 species